AGCAUGCGGCCUUUCCCCGCUGGGCAGCGCUGCGAGUGGGUUGGUGAGCGGUCGUGGUUCGUGCGCGGCCGCGUUCUGUGCGCUAAAGCGAUGAUUGGGACGGAGCCCUCGGGCCUCGACAUGCAGCCCACGCGGGGGCCUUGCGGCGGCAGGUCGAGGUCGGCGUCGGCAGCCCGCGGGCUGGGAGGCCCGGGCGGACUUGGGGCUCCUUAGGCCGCGCGGCCGCCACGUGCAACUCUAGGUGCCGAGUCCCAGGCGGCGCGCAUGCGCCCGGGCGAGUCCGGGACGGUCGGGUCCACGCAGCGCCCAGUGGCCGAGCGGGACGCCUGCAGCCGGCGGGGACGAGAAGGCCCUGCCGCGGGUGAGUCUCCGGGAGCCUCCUGCAUGCCCAGGACAACGGGAUUUCGAGUCAGCAGCUCCAGGAUGGCUGGGAAAUGAUGUGAUGGAACAGAACGAUGUUCUGGGAACUACAGGAAGUAUUUUCAGUUAUACCUGGAUGUUGGCAGAUGAGUGCGUGCUUGUUACGAUUAAAUAAAGUGCUGGUUCGUCUGGCU